rnacentral:rRNA from 1 species
UACACUCCUACGGGAGGCAGCAGUGGGGAAUUUUGGACAAUGGGCGAAAGCCUGAUCCAGCAAUGCCGCGUGAGUGAAGAAGGCCUUCGGGUUGUAAAGCUCUUUUGUCAGGGAAGAAACGGUGAGAGCUAAUAUCUCUUGCUAAUGACGGUACCUGAAGAAUAAGCACCGGCUAACUACGUGCCAGCAGCCGCGGUAAUACGUAGGGUGCAAGCGUUAAUCGGAAUUACUGGGCGUAAAGCGUGCGCAGGCGGUUUUGUAAGUCUGAUGUGAAAUCCCCGGGCUCAACCUGGGAAUUGCAUUGGAGACGGCAAGGCUAGAAUCUGGCAGAGGGGGGUAGAAUUCCACGUGUAGCAGUGAAAUGCGUAGAUAUGUGGAGGAACACCGAUGGCGAAGGCAGCCCCCUGGGUCAAGAUUGACGCUCAUGCACGAAAGCGUGGGGAGCAAACAGGAUUAGAUACCCCUGUAGUCCCAUGA